rnacentral:rRNA from 1 species
AUUGAACGCUGGCGGCAGGCCUAACACAUGCAAGUCGAGCGAGCGGCGGACGGGUGAGUAAUGUAUGGGGACUGCCCGUUAGUGAGGGAUAACUACUGGAGACGGUGGCUAAUACCGCAUACUAUCGGAUAACCCAUAUGGGAUGAGCUAGUUGGUGAGGUAAUGGCUCACCAAGGCGACGAUCCCUAGCUGGUCUGAGAGGAUGAUCAGCCACACUGGCACUGAGACACGGCCCAGACUCCUACGGAGGCAGCAGUGGGGAAUAUUGCACAAUGGAGGCAAGCCUGAUGCUGCCAUGCCGCGUGUAUGAAGAAGGCCGUAGGGUUGUAAAGUACUUUCAGUCGGGAGGCGUUACCGUCAGAAGAAGCACCGGCUAACUCCGUGCCAGCAGCCGCGGUAAUUC